rnacentral:rRNA from 1 species
AAGGAUUUCUUCGGAAUGAAUUUGAUUAAGUUUAGUGGCGGACGGGUGAGUAACGCGUGAGUAACCUGCCUCUAAGAGGGGAAUAACAUUCUGAAAAGAAUGCUAAUACCGCAUAACAUAUAUUUAUCGCAUGGUAGAUAUAUCAAAGAUUUAUCGCUUAGAGAUGGACUCGCGUCCGAUUAGUUAGUUGGUGAGGUAACGGCUCACCAAGACCGCGAUCGGUAGCCGGACUGAGAGGUUGAACGGCCACAUUGGGACUGAGACACGGCCCAGACUCCUACGGGAGGCAGCAGUGGGGGAUAUUGCGCAAUGGGGGAAACCCUGACGCAGCAACGCCGCGUGAAGGAUGAAGGUCUUCGGAUUGUAAACUUCUUUUAUUAAGGACGGAGAAAGUGACGGUACUUAAUGAAUAAGCUCCGGCUAACUACGUGCCAGCAGCCGCGGUAAUACGUAGGGAGCAAGCGUUGUCCGGAUUUACUGGGUGUAAAGGGUGCGUAGGCGGCUUUGCAAGUCAGAUGUGAAAUCUAUGGGCUCAACCCAUAGCCUGCAUUUGAAACUGCAGAGCUUGAGUGAAGUAGAGGCAGGCGGAAUUCCCCGUGUAGCGGUGAAAUGCGUAGAGAUGGGGAGGAACACCAGUGGCGAAGGCGGCCUGCUGGG